UACGUAGGGUGCGAGCGUUGUCCGGAAUUACUGGGCGUAAAGGGUGCGUAGGUGGCGCUGUAAGUCGGGUGUGAAAUUUCGGAGCUUAACUCCGAAACUGCAUUCGAUACUGCGGUGCUUGAGGACUGGAGAGGAGACUGGAAUUCAUGGUGUAGCAGUGAAAUGCGUAGAGAUCAUGAGGAAGACCAGUGGCGAAGGCGGGUCUCUGGACAGUUCCUGACACUGAGGCACGAAGGCCAGGGGAGCAAACGGG
rnacentral:rRNA from 1 species